UACGAGAGGCCCAAACGUUAUUCGGAAUUACUGGGCUUAAAGAGUCCGUAGGCGGCGCGGCAAGUGGGGUGUGAAAGCCCUCGGCUCAACCGAGGAAUUGCGCUCCAAACUACCGUGCUUGAGGAACCUAGAGGUGAGCAGAACUGAUGGUGGAGCGGUGAAAUGCGUUGAGAUCGGAAGGAACGCCCGUGGCGAAAGCGAGGUCCUGGACGCCUACUGACGCUGAGACGCGAAAGCCAGGGGAGCGAACGGG
rnacentral:rRNA from 1 species